rnacentral:lncRNA from 1 species
CAGAAAGCUACAUGAAAGCAUGAUGUCACCUUGAAUACCUGGUUCCCUUACAAAGCCACAAGUAUUUGUGUAAGGUCUUUAGAUGCCUCUAAAGUCAUUUUCACCAGCUGCAGAAAUGUUGUUCUUUUUUCUAAUCAAAGGUACCAGGUACCCAUGACAGACAAAUGUUAAUAAAGUACCUGAACUCGCCAGGGGAGAGGCUGGCCAGGGUUAUUCACUAAAGUGAGAAUUCAAAAUGGAUUUCAAAGUAUCCAAACUGGAGAAAUUCUCUUUACACAGCUAUGCUUUCCGUUCGGCUACUCUGGCCUUAAGGGAACACUAUAGGGUCAGGAACACAAACAUGUAUUCCUGACCCUAUAAUGUUAAAAGCACCAUCUACCCCCCGAUCCCCACUCCCCCCAAAUAUAUUACAAUUUUACAUGUACUCAAGUUUGCAGCUGCUGCAUCUGCCCCUUAUCUGCCUGCUUGGCUGACAUCAUCAGAAGUGGAGGAGGAGGAAUGGCCAGUGGAAUUAUCACUAAGCUGUAAUGUAAACACUGCAUUUUCUCUGAAAAGACAGUGUUUGCCUUCAGGCCUUUUGCAGUAAUGAUUCUACUCACCAGAACAAAUACAAUAAGCUGUAGUUGUUCUGGUGACUAUAUUGUCAUUUUAAAUUUGAAAUUCACUUUGAAUUUUAACUUCAGGAGUUGGGAGUUAGUAUCAAACAGCUAGUUGCUGCUGCUUGGGGAUAAUGGAAGUCGUAGUGAGUCAACAACUAUAAAAUCACUUGGGGUUAUAGUUUCAAAGAAAAACAUUUUCUGUUUAAUGUUAAACUUACUUCUGUAGCAUUUUGUAAUUAUGAGGAUUAGUGAUAGGAAAGAUCUGCAUGUGUCGCUUUACUCCUUCAUGACGUAUGAAGCAUCAGGAUUGUCCUAAUAUACGCUUUGCCGGUCCCCGUGUGUCCUGAAGGGGUUAACAGUAUUUUCCCCAAAAAACUGCCACGUAAGUAUUUUAGAAAAAUAAGUUAGCUGAUUGUGCAGUCUUGGUUUGAUUUUGCCGAUAUUGUGAACAUUUUAACCACACAGCAAAAUGAACCGUGGCAGGAAAGAUUAACCAUCUUGAUUUUAAAUAACUUUUUUUUUUCAUUCAAUUAACUGAAAAUUACAUCAUAGCCUAAUGUCACUUCCUGUUUUCCUGCAGCAUUGAGCGGAAAUAGUUAGCAGGUAGCUCACAAUGAAAUACAAUUAGCAGUGCUUUUGUAUGCCAGGAGUAUUUUUUUUUCUUUUUUUUACAGUUUAUAAAAGUUCUAUUGUUAUAUUCUAUUACUAUUGAAAUUGGCGAUUUUAUAAACCCCCACCACAACACCUCCCAGCUUCAAGACAGCGUCCUCUUCCCUUAGAUUCACAGAGACACCAGCUCCCACUUACAAACUUCUGGUACCUCUCCUGAGCUAAGCGCUAUAGUGCAGAGCUAGCUUAUUGACUGAUUUCUCUCUGCUAAUGGGCAAAGCCCUGGCACCAUAACCACUACUAUGCACUGUAGUGCUUAAGAGCUUAAAAUAGUGUCCCUUUAACUUUUAUUAUUUUAACAGUAGGGUCCCUGUAUUUAAAAUAAGUUAAAAAAAAAAAAAAAAAGGGAACAACCUAAUGUUAAAAAUAAAUAUAUUUUGUUGUUAGAGUGUCUACAUAGCUGUUGUAUUUUAGAAGUUCUGCAAUGCUGCAUGGUAAUGGGUAAAAUCUUGCAAUAAGGGGUUAUUAAUUAAACUGGAGAUUUCAUAAUUUAGGCCCAAAAUAGCCUGACUAAAACAACUCAGUUACUUUCCCAAUCCAAUAUGCAUAUAUCUUAAAGAUAGUAUUUUUAUGAAAAACUCUUAUUGGCUGUGUUGAAAUACCUACCCAGUCAAAAGAUAUACUGAGACAAAGUAGGGGCAACUGUAUCUCAGUAUUUUUCCUCCUCAUGACAUAAAGACGGAGUCACCUUUUGUCAAGCUUGUUUUGUCACCAGUGAGGGCUGCAGGCAAAAAUCUCUGCUUAGUGAGGAUCCUCCAUAGAACUCAGUGCUGUACUGUUAUGCAUGUAUCCACGAGAGUCCAGUGCUGACUUUGGCUCAUGGUAACUGAGGAGCCAAGUUCUGAAGAGGAUGUGACUAAUCAAGAUGGCGGUGCCUGUAAGGGACAGGUUCAGGAAGUAAAACUCACCGACCCCUGCUGCCUCUGGACAUUCAGCGACAAUGUCCCCACCAGGGGUAUUUGUAUAUUAUGCACAGACCCCAGACGGUGACAAAGCCACUUUAAAGGAAUGCUAUAGCCGAGGGGGAAAAACGUCUUCCUAGUGCUAUAUCGUACUUCUGUUUAGCUUACCCUUCCCCCUUCAAUAAAAAAAUAAGUUUUGCCCUCCAUGUAGCCCUCUCUGCAGUUGUCUUUACAGUGCCUCUUGUUGAGCCAGCUUGUCUGAAAUUAUUAAUACUGAUGAUCUAAGCCAAUCCAGUGCGUGGCAAAAUGCCAAAGUUGUGCCAAUCAAAUGUUCUCUAGUAGAGUCUGACGCGGUUAUUUGGAAUAUGCGCCUCUAGUGGCUGGUGGGAACAGAGCCACUGAUGGUGUACUAAACCCUGCAAUCAUAACAUUGCCAUAUCUAUUAAAUAGUAAUGUUUUACAGUGCAGGUUAAAAAUGACCAGAACACUGCACCCAUACCACAUCAUUGAGAUGAAGUGGUCUGGGUGCUUUAGUUUAUUUUCCUUGUCAAUUCUCAGUUUAGCGAGUUAGCCCCAAACAGGAUAUUUUCAAUAAAUAGAGAGUUUGCGGCUGUUGCUUAUUUAGACACACGUAGUAUAAAUCAUUGUAAAUGUCUGGUAACUAAUGGAAUAUAAAUUGUUUCAGGUUGUUCUGUAGAACGUUCAUUCCACUGUUAUCUGGUCAUCGCUAUACUGGUAUUGCAUCUGACAGUGUCCUGUAAAACAGGUUCUGCUUACAUUUACCAUAGAUCUGGUAGAAUAAAUGUAUUCAUUUUUUGCAGAGAAAAAAAAUGGGGGAAAACAUUCACAGAGCUAUAUACUAAAAGGAGAAUUCAAUGUGAAUUUAAACAGACACUGAAGGCAUCUAGACUAUUUCAUCUCAUUGAAGUGGUGUGGGUGCAAUGGCCAUAUCCCCAUUAUGCAAUAUUUACACGGAAGGGUUAAGACAGCCACUAGAGGCGCUUGGAAUGUUACUCCAUGAAACAACGUUGGAUGUCCUAAUGCUAUGCAUGAGGGUGUCCUGUGUCUUCAACAGCCCCGUAUCAAAGCAUCGAUUCAAUUAUAUCCUAUGGGGAAGCUGUAAUGCGAAUUAGGUUCCCUCAUUGGCAUGACAUCACAGGAAGUGGAGACGGAUCCAGUGCUGAGUUCAGCGUUAAAAAAGUUUUUAACCCUUUCAGCACAAGCGGGGGGUGUAGAGGCACAGGAACACUAUUGCAUUAGGAAUACAGUUUUGUUUUGCUAACAUUAUAUUGUUACUUUAAGGCCAGAAUAGCCAAACUGAAAGCAUUACUAACUUAGAGAAUUCUUUAAUUUUGGCUAUUUUGACCUUAAAGGACCACUAUAGUGCCAGGAAAACAUACUCGUUUUCCUGGCACUAUAGUGCCCCGAGGGUGCUCCCACCGGGCUCUGGGGAGAGGAAGGGGUUAAAAUCUUACCUUUCUCCAGCGCCGGGCGGGGAGCUCUCUCCUCCUCCAUAGUGACGUCAUCGGCUGAAUGCUCGGCAGGAGCCGCGCGCACAUUCGGCCAGUUUAUAGGAAAGCAUUUACAAUGCUUUCCUAUGGACACUGGCGUCUUCUCACUGUGAUUUUCACAGUGAGAAGAACGCAAGCGCCUCUAGCGGCUGUCAAUGAGACAGCCACUAGAGGCUGGAUUAACCCUAUUAUAAACAUAGCAGUUUCUCUGAAACUAUGUUUAUUAAAAAAAAGGGUUAACCCU